rnacentral:rRNA from 1 species
AGCAGCCGUGGUAAUUCCAGCUCCAAUAGCGUAUAUUAAAGUUGUUGCAGUUAAAAAGCUCGUAGUUGAAUUUCGGGAUUUAUUCAUUGGUCAGGCUUAAUUGUCUGUACUGGUGAGAUAAAUCUCUACCUUCUGAGGAACUUUCAUGCCAUUUAUUUGGUGUGAUUGGAAAUCAGGACUAUUACUUUGAAAAAUUAGAGUGUUUAAAGCAGGCUAACGUCUGAAUACAUUAGCAUGGAAUAAUGAAAUAGGACGGACUGGUUCUAUUUUGUUGGUUUCUAGGAUCACCGUAAUGAUUAAUAGGGAUAGUUGGGGGCAUUAGUAUUCAAUUGUCAGAGGUGAAAUUCUUGGAUUUAUUGAAGACUAACUACUGCGAAAGCAUUUGCCAAGGAUGUUUUCAUUAAUCAAGAACGAAAGUUAGGGGAUCGAAGAC